GUGUGGGCCCUGAGCUGGUCAGUGGAUUUUGUUAGUUUGUUUUGCCUGUCAGGCAGGCUUUGCAAGCACCUUGUGACAGCGGAGUAGAACUCCUGCCACGUUUCUGAGGCGUGCCAGACGUCAGCGUUUCCAGUUCCUGAAGUGCUGGAGAUGCUCGGAGCGCAAGGGGAGCAGGGAGCGUGAUGCAUCUCUUUGGGAUGUUAACCAUGCGACCUUAGCUCGGCACAGUUGUGAACGGAAGCGCUAAGCCUGGAUCGGGAAGGUGAAGAGGAGCCUCGUGCCUGAAGCAACAUCCUGGCUAGCCUUUGUGUUCCUUGUUGAGGAUGGAACCUGCCUCCCAGCAUUCCCAAGCUAAGUUGGGGGGCAAGUGCUAUGUUUGAGCUGGGGUUGUGAAUGGGCACGUAGGGCGAGGGUCUGUGCUUUUAAGUCAUUGCAGCUGAUGGGGCCUUUCAGGAUUGAUCA